rnacentral:lncRNA from 1 species
CAUUCUCAUCAGGUGACUGGGCAUUGAGUUGAGCUAACAUCCUGACAGCAAAUUGGUCAGUCUAUCAACCCAUUCAACUGGUACCCAAACAGGGACUUUUAUGCAUUUAUGGCCAGAUUGAAGAAGGUGACCUAGAAGGGAAUCCAUAGGAGAGGAGAGACAGCAGUGGACUUCGAGGAACUACAGGGAUGCCCAAAUGAGGGAGCCAGUAUGACAUAGAGGAACCAAGACGGACCACCAUCUAGAUGCAAUGCAGCCUCUACUUGCCCUGAUUCAGCUUCUGCAACUUCAAAAACAGAAAGGAGGAACUGCAGGAGACCAGCUUGAAAUGGCAAAGGACCAUGUCACUGGAUAACCUGGUGCCUCCGGUUGAUGAAGAUUGUCCCCAACAGCAUAUGUGAAAGACAGAGGCCUGACCACAAAGGCACUGUCACGCUUGCAAGACAAACAUGUGACCAGCUCCUGAUCCCUGUUGGUGAGAUGGACUCCCCCAGCUCUGCCCUUCUCUGUGACUAUCAAGACCUCUUAUGUGAGCUGUGGAGUGGCAGAACCCAAGUUAUAUCUGGAAUUCUUCCUUUAAGGGAGCGUGGGAAACCCAACUGUUUUACAGAACAAGAAGGCACUGUGAGGUAGAUUUUAAAUGGACCAAUCCAGAGAAUCUCGGUGUUUUUUGUUUUCUAUUUGGUUUAGUUUUCUAUAAUUAUUAAAGCUUCUGUAUACAUUAUUACUCAAAAGUCAAUGUUAUUUCUAACAAUACUGGUGAGGAGGUUGGAAUAUGCAGAGAUUCAAUAAUAUGUCGCCAUGUUUAGGGUCUGUUUGAAAUUAUGUAUCUUGAACAUUUUUGAAACUAUACUUGUUUUCAAACUAUUUAAUUGCCUAUUUUGAAACUACACACCCUGAAUAUUUUGGCAAAUAAUCAAAUUUAGUGAUAUCUUGUUGAGUAUUUCUUUACACAGGAGUCAAAUUGUACCUUAAAUAGAUUAAAUGCAGAAUUUGAAACACUGAGGAAGACAUUGGCUUCUUGGGUUAUUGCUUUCAAUUUUCCUUUUUCCCAGGAGUAUUUGACCCCUCACAAAAAGCUGGAAAACUGUGUCCUCUAGUACCUUGGACUCUAAAAUUCAACUGGAACUUCUCUUAUCCUAGAAUAAUUCAAAAUAUAACAGAAGCAGGAACAUCAAAUGGAUGAUUACUGUUGAACCCAGUGAGAGAGAACCAACCAGAGACCGAUAUUAAAUCCACACAGGAGUUUAUUACUGGCCAGGACCAGAGCUGAGCAUCAGACUCCAGCCUCAACUGGGGGUUGACAAACAUGUUUUAUACACCUUUGAGGCCAACAGUUUCUAGGCCNNNNNNNNNNNNNNNNNNNNNNNNNNNNNNNNNNNNNNNNNNNNNNNNNNNNNNNNNNNNNNNNNNNNNNNNNNNNNNNNNNNNNNNNNNNNNNNNNNNNNNNNNNNNNNNNNAACUAGUUAAAGCAAGCAAAAGGUACAGAAGCAGAACGUCCUGCUGUUAGAACAUUUGUGAAACAAUAGUUGAUUAAUUGUCAUUUCUAAAGAGACUUUCUAAGGGGAGGAGGUUUUUAAGCUUCCUCCUUCUGAGUUCAUCUAGAGGGCAGGCAGGUGGGUCAAGCAGCAAUAUGGAGUCUGUCUUGAUAACUAGGGUCUUUCAGUUACCACCUUCUCACUGGGCCCAUUAUUUAACAGUUCCCCAGGUCCUACUUAACGUGGCCCAUUAUGUCAGCCUAUGACCUUUCACAAAGCUCAUGGAAGAUGCUCCAACAUGAGAAAGAACUGUGGGUACAAGCAAGAGAGAAACUGGAGUAGACGUGGGUUUCUUUUAUAUGUUAAACAAUUUCCCAUAUCUUUGCUUUGCAGAUCUGACUGCUGCUCUAUAAUUUCCAUUAUAUCACAGAUUGGAGGUAAUAUUGGGUUUGCAGAACACAGUGAAGUUAAAAUUUAUUGUAAUAGCUCAAAUCUCUACUCCUGAAACCCGUUGCUAACCCAUCAUUCUUCCUUUGAAAACAAACAAAUGUUCUGGGGCCUUUAUGAUGCCUCUGACCUUUGUGCUAGGCUCUUCACAUACACUGUUUAUUUAGCUCUUACUUGAAAGGGGUAAGGAGUCUAAAUUAGUUAAGAAAAACAAACAAACAAAACAAAACAAAACAAACCCACCACCACCAGGCAUAGAAUUAUGAACCCAAUCUUUUCAAUCACUCAGGAUGUUCCACUGAGCAGAAAGAUUUGAUUUAAAAGCCAUUCUCACCCUUCUCCAGGUUUAGUGCAAUGAACAAUUCAUUUACCUCUGUCAGUCAGUUUCCUACCAAGGAGCACAGUAUGAAACAAAUGACUUGAGCACAGUGACUUCACAAUUUAGAAAGGUGGGGAUGGGUGUUAAGGAUCCAAUGCGGGGCAGAGCAUUGCUCAGAGGCCAGUAGCUGUGGGUGGGAGAGGAGAGCUGCUGCCCACUGGAAGCGGCAGAUGGGAAGAUGCACUUAGCAGAGCCUGGAUCUGGCAGCUACAGAGAGAUGGGCAGUGCUGGGCACUAGGUCUUCCCUAGAAAGAGCAUGAAUUAGCAGUGGGCUGGUGAGGCACUGACUGGGGGAACACAUGCCCUAAUUUUACUUUCCUCUGUCCUUUGACAGCCUGUUGCUAUGUCUCACUGGCUGAAUUUAGAGACAGAAUCAAGAGAUAAAGAAAAUGUAUCACUCAGCCACAAGGAAGAUAACUAGGGUUAUCUUCAUUUGUAGGAAAAUCGAUGGAUCUUGAGACCACCAUUCUAAGUGAAAUAAAUCAGACACAGAGGGUUAAAUAUUGCAUAGUUUCUCUAAUAAGGGACAUCCAAAAUAUAAAUGACAUAAAGAGCAAAAUAAAAGAGAGGUGGUGGGAAACAGGAAGGUAGACUCUGUGGAGAUGGGAGGGGGACCCAGGAAAAAGGGAGAAGAGAAGACAGUGUGGGUCAAGAGGAGUAAAAAACGAUCAGGAUGUGACAUGUCUAUGUACCAAUUCCACAGGAUGAAUGUCAUUAUUUUGUACUGCAAAUGCAUAUGAAUAAGAAAAGAAUCAUCAAGGAAGUCUGCUGGGCACUGAGGCAGUCACAGGCCGCAGAGCCAGAGUAGAGAGCAUACCUGGAGAGGAGGAAGGGAGCUGACAGCCAUGGCUUCUAAUCUGUGAUUGCCUGGCAAUUCUUAGAUGCCCUCUACUUCAAUCCUCACAAAAUCUUACAAAGUAAAGAUUGUUUUCUGCAAUUUACAUCUGAGAAAACUGAUGGUCCAAUCUAUUAGAGAUAUACCAUGUUUGUUACCAUAUGUAAACAUAAUAAUACAUCACAGAAAAACAUCCAAAAACAUACCACUAAACAUGCACUAGAAAAAUUUAAUUUCCAAUGAUAAUAAAAUGUUUUAGCAAUCUUUCCAUACAAGAGAAC